rnacentral:rRNA from 1 species
UACGGGGGGGGCAAGCGUUGUUCGGAAUUACUGGGCGUAAAGGGCGCGUAGGCGGCCAUCUAAGUCGGACGUGAAAUCCCUCGGCUUAACCGAGGAACUGCGUCCGAUACUGGAAGGCUUGAAUCCGGGAGGAGGAUGUGAAUUCCAGGUGUAGCGGUGAAAUGCGUAGAUAUCUGGAGGAACACCGGGUGGCGAAGGCGGCAUCCUGGACCGGUAUGACGCUG